AGUCAGUCCUCAGUCUGGUCUGGAGGCUCGGUCCCUGCCUCUGGCUCUGAGUCCCGCCUCCCAUCUCUCCAGGGUGGCUCCCUGGUGAGUCAGCGCCCGUCCACCCUGAGGAUGACCGUCCCCGUCCGUUUGCAUGACGCCAUCUCACAGUCUCUGUGUCUCACUGUCACUGAGAACUGAGCCCCUUUCCCUUCCCCAUCCGGUGUUUUGAGGGGCCUCAUGUUCUGCUCUUGAGCUGGCCAGAGCCUUGCCUCUUCCCGAACACAAGUUCUGACCGAUGACCCUGGGCUGGAGCCACUUCCAGGAGGGUUUGGCUGCAACCUCUGCCGCCGUCUUGCCCCAUGGGGGCAGCUUGUUUGAAACUGGAACUGGGAGAGCAGAGCAGGGCUGGGGAGUCUAGGUUAGCUGCUGCCAUCGCAGUGAAGAUGGUCCAGUCGGAUACGCCGCCUGAACCUCAGCACCACACAUGGUUCCUGGAGCCCAAGUCAGUGGGAUGUUUGUCAUUUGGGUCCCCGGCACCUUCCUACAGGUAAGAGCAUCUUCAGUGAGGGUCGUAGACCAGGCUGGAGCCGGUAGGUCCCCCGGGAUACCUGCUGCUGGGCGCCAUCUGCCGGCUCCACGGUCGUCCGACGCUGAGGCACUUUCUGGGCCCUGUGGCCCCCACGCUCCAGGGUCCACGCGGAGGAUCUGAACUCAGAAACUUGAGGACUUCACCUUGCUACAAAGGCAUCACAGCCCUGACAUCACGCAGCUUUGAUAAUCCACCAGGUGUUUAAUCACAGGGACAGAGCACACCUCAAAGUGGUUUACGCACACACACAAAGAGGAAAUUCGCUGACAGGAGUUGAGAUGAGAGUGACAGGUUAUGGGCUCCAGGGGCGGCGCAGUCCAGGCAUUCCCACGAUGUCCUGUGGGCUGUGCCAGAACCCUGGGAAGAGCAACGUGGUCGGAGGGUCCCGGGGGAGAGUGGGUGGCGGAGGGUCCCCGGGGAGAGCAGGGUGGCCGGAGGGUCCGGGGGGAGAGUGGGGUGGUUGGAGGGUCCCGGGGGAGAGUGGGGUGGCGGAGGGUCCCCGGGG
rnacentral:lncRNA from 1 species